rnacentral:rRNA from 1 species
GGCGAACGGGUGAGUAACACGUGAGAAACCUGCCCUGAAGACGGGGAUAACAGGAGGAAACUUCUGCUAAUACCCAAUACCCCCACCGGAUCGCAUGGUCUGGUGAGGAAAUGGAUUCCGCUUCAGGAGGGUCUCGCGGCCUAUCAGCUUGUUGGUGAGGUAACGGCUUACCAAGGCUUGGACGGGUAGCUGGUCUGAGAGGACGAUCAGCCACACUGGGACUGAGACACGGCCCAGACUCCUACGGGAGGCAGCAGUAAGGAAUAUUGCGCAAUGGGCGAAAGCCUGACGCAGCAACGCCGCGUGCGGGAUGAAGGCCCUCGGGUUGUAAACCGCUUUCAGUAGGGAAGAAAAUGACGGUACCUACAGAAGAAGCCCCGGCCAACUACGUGCCAGCAGCCGCGGUAACACGUAGGGGGCGAGCGUUGUCCGGAUUUAUUGGGCGUAAAGAGCUCGUAGGCGGUUUCGUAAGUCGGAUGUGAAAACUCCAGGCUCAACUUGGAGACGCCAUUCGAUACUGCGAUGACUUGAGUCCGGUAGGGGAGUGUGGAAUUCCUGGUGUAGCGGUGAAAUGCGCAGAUAUCAGGAGGAACACCGGCGGCGAAGGCGGCACUCUGGGCCGGUACUGACGCUGAGGAGCGAAAGCGUGGGUAGCAAACAGGAUUAGAUACCCUGGUAGUCC